CAUGGCCUCCAGCACUUUCUUCUUUCUUUCUUUUUUAUUUUAUUUUAGUUUUUAUUUUUCAUAUGAAACAUUUUCCUGCCAGGAUCUUCUAUAUACAGUUGGAGGAUGCUUUUGAUAUGUAGAUCAAGCAAAAUGGUAAAUACAGAGCCCUCUCUUUUCAAACAUUCCCUUAUUCUACAAUGUGCCUGUAGUGUCACUGUCUUUGAUUUCCAUGAGGCUUGCCCUUGGGUUUGUAUUGUAACUUGGUAUCUUUCCAUUGUCCCUUACCACAAAAAAAAUUCCUUUUUAAGAAACUGAAUUCAGAAUGUAAUCCAUCAAGCUUUAGCUCCUCUUUCUCUUUCCUUCUGGAAGAUUUAGUGACUAAGUCUUUGCUUUGAUUUUCUUUCUCUGACUUUGAGGGGUCUCACUUUCUCUUCUAAUUGCUACAAUCUGGUAACUCCUUUUGCUUGGAGUAAACAAAAACAGAAACACUUGGUGAGGAGACAAACAGGCUCACAAGCUCACGUGCCUGACUAGCUGAUGGAUGGCAAGGUCUGGCUCUCAGGAAGAGACCUGAAACGUCAGUUUCAGGAUGGGCUCUCUGCCAGGCACAGUGGAGCUCACUUUCUAGUACCAAACGUAUCUAGUUGCACUCCAUAAAGAUUAUAUAAAGGACUUAUUCGUAAAUGUGCAUAAUUCUGCUGCCAGAGUAUAGGAGAGUGAGAGAGUAAUUCUGACUAGAGGAAUACAGAUUUCCUGGAAGAGAAGGGAUUUUCCUGGUCUUCCAAAAUGGAUAGGAUUUUGAGAGGAGACGUUUAGUCUUCCACUGGCUCUAAUAUGUAUCUUAGAAAUCUGUAAGAUUUUAGAAGGCUGUUGAAGCAACACUUGAGAGCCCAAUUCAAGGAUGAGACCUGGUGACAUCACUGAUACCGGAUUCAUACAGAGAAGGAAUAGGUAUAGAAGGCUGUUUGUCUGGGACACAUCUGAAACAAGAAUCUUAACAAUGGUAAAUCUAAAAGCUGGGUCUUCUAAUCUCACGGUAUCAUGUGAUUUUUCUUUCUUACACUCACUGUUAAAACUUCCCAUCCCGAAGUAACAGCAUGUUCACACACAAACACCCCCAUAGACAACUGAAACCAUUAAUAUUCGCAUAGGCCUUGUGACUCAAAGUGUGGGCUCUAGACCCAGAUCACCUGGGAGCUUGUA